CCUUUCCAUUUUGUGAAUCAACAAGCAACCCAUCCAAGUGAUCUCCAACAACAGUAAUAAGCCUUUGAUCGGGGCUGAUGGAUGUAUGCUGCAUUAGAAUAAACAAAAUCAGUUAUGUUAAGGAGAACUAACAU